UGGAUGUAAUGGGAUAUGACAAUGGAAGAUCCUUUUUGUAUGAUCUCUCUUCCUUUGUAAAUCUUUUUUGAGAACAUGGCUAUCUUUCUUUUUUCUAUUUCUUGGACCUUCAUGUGUCCAACUUUUUUUUCAAUACUUGGACCUUCAUGUGUCCAUAUAUUUUUUUGAUGGCCCAUGUCUGUUUUGUAAUAAUAACUAAAGAGAGAGGUCAACACAUAUGAUGGAGCAUUUAUCUUGUGGAAUGAAUGGAUGGUACAAUGCUAACUUCUCAUAGAAGCAUAGCAAGGGGGUAUAUGGUGUGUACAUGAAUCUUGAUCAUGAAAGCAUGAAAAUAAUUCUUCCAAGGGUCACAACAAUUUGACAAAGUUCAAUGCAAAGACAAGCAGUUUUCAAGAUAUCUCGUCAUAUGACUUUGGUAGGACUUUGGCAUAUCAAAGAGGAGCUUUGCAAAGGGUUUUCAAAAUUUUCAAAUAGAUUUCCC
rnacentral:lncRNA from 1 species